GAGUGGUAUGGGGGAGUCAGAGUCAGUUCAUAGGUCUCAGGAUGCAGUGCUCUUUGGGUGUCUCCAGCAUGGCUUGGCCUCUGGUUUUCCUCACUAUCCUCAGUCAAGGCUCAUGGGCUCAGUCAACCCUCACUCAGCCUCCCUCAACUUCUGGAUCUCUUGGCCAGACAGCUACCAUUUCCUGUACUGGAACCAGCAAUGAUAUUGGGAAGUACAAUUAUGUAUCUUGGUACCAACAGCAACCAGGAUUAAACCCCAAACUCCUGAUUUACAAUGUGAAUAGUCGUCCAUCAGGGAUUUCUGAUCGUUUCUCUGGCUCCAAGUCUGGCAACACAGCCUCCCUGACCAUCUCAGGGCUCCAGCCUGAGGAUGAGGCUGAUUAUUACUGUGCUUCAUAUGCAGGAAGUAACAAUUUACACAGUAGUGAAAGUUCAUGGGGAAGUUAA